rnacentral:lncRNA from 1 species
ACAGCUCUACAUUGAAUAUCUUUGCUUUGGUUUCUAGCGUAUGCACUACUUUUGCUGGUUUAGAUUUCAAUUGCAGGUUGGGACAUUGUUUCUUCUAAGCUUCCAAUUAGCUCCCAGAAAAUCAUAUAUUGAUUACAUCUCCAAACUUACACUCUCAAGUCUCAACCUUUAGUAGGAGGAACUGUUUACCAGUUUUUGAGCUUCUUAAAAUAAAUUCUCAUCAAUUUAGUCAAGAGAAUUGGUAUUGCUUUUGCUAUAACUAGACCUCUAAUACUGAGGUUCUGCACGUAAAAAAAUGUUCUUGAGGGGGUUUCCGAAUAAAUAUGAUGUAGGACAGCUUAGGGAACAUAGAGUUGUGCUGUUUGUGAGUGUUGGUAAUGAGAAGCAUGUAGAUUUAGAGGGUUUUGAUAUAAAAGGGUUCUAAGUUUUAAAAAGUGAACAUUGUUCGGGAUUGGCUUGAUCUAGAAAGUGCUUGGUUGCAGGAAAAAUUUCUUGAUAGAAAUCAAUUGUAAGGACUGUGUGGUUGAAGUUAAAAGGCUAAGGAUAGGGAAAUAGUUUAGAGUGACAAGGAACUGGUGUAUGAUAAAAUUGUGGAGCUGGAGGAUGGGAUUUGUCAGCGCUUAGUCAUGAUUCAAACAGUAAUGCUUAUAGUUUGUGCAGUUUCAUGAUGUUAAAGAUCCUGCUUUCUGUGGAUUAAAACAGGUAGUUAACGAGGUCUUCCUGCGUGUAGCUUUUACCGUCUUUAAUUAUGGAUUGGUAUGUUUAAAUUUUAAUUGACUUUUCUUCACUCUCUCCAAUCCCAGUAUUCAUUAUCUCAAGUUGUAUGCUUGGAUAAACAUUUG